rnacentral:rRNA from 1 species
CCCACGCGAAACGAGAAGCUUCUCUCUCUCUCUCUCUCCAACCUCCUCCGCACCGCACCGCCACCGCCACCGCCGCGCCGCACCGCCACCGCCCAUCUCUCCGGCGGGCCAGGGCAAUGGACGGCGAGGGCGACGGGGCCCAGGGCCUGGAGGAGCAGGCGGCGGCGGCGGCCGAGGCGGCGCGGGAGCUGCGGGACGCGGCGGCGGCCCUCGCCGUGCGCCG